rnacentral:rRNA from 1 species
ACGCUGGCGGCACGCCUAACACAUGCAAGUCGAACGAAGUAGCAAUACUUAGUGGCAGACGGGUGAGUAACAUGUAGGUAUCUACCCUUUGGCCUGGAAUAACACGAGGAAACUUGUGCUAAUACCGGAUAAGUCUUUACGGAGAAAGCUUUAUGCACCAUUGGAUGAGCCUGCACUUGAUUAGUUUGUUGGUGGGGUAAUGGCCUACCAAGACUGUGAUCAAUAGCUGAUUUGAGAGGAUGAUCAGCCACAUUGGGACUGAGACACGGCCCAAACUCCUACGGGAGGCAGCAGUGGGGAAUCUUGCACAAUGGAGGAAACUCUGAUGCAGCGAUGCCGCGUGAGUGAAGAAGGCCCUUGGGUUGUAAAGCUCUUUCGUCGGGGAAGAAAAUGACUGUACCCGAAUAAGAAGGUCCGGCUAACUUCGUGCCAGCAGCCGCGGUAAUACGAAGGGACCUAGCGUAGUUCGGAAUUACUGGGCUUAAAGAGUUCGUAGGUGGUUGAAAAAGUUGGUGGUGAAAUCCCAGAGCUUAACUCUGGAACUGCCAUCAAAACUUUUCAGCUAGAGUAUGAUAGAGGAAAGCAGAAUUUCUAGUGUAGAGGUGAAAUUCGUAGAUAUUAGAAAGAAUACCAAUUGCGAAGGCAGCUUUCUGGAUCAUUACUGACACUGAGGAACGAAAGCAUGGGUAGCGAAGAGGAUUAGAUACCCUCGUAGUCCAUGCCGUAAACGAUGUGUGUUAGACGUUGGAAAUUUAUUUUCAGUGUCGCAGCAAAAGCGAUAAACACACCGCCUGGGGAGUACG